CUUCGGUGAUGAUUUGAUGACGAAUCUGAAUGGAAUACUUCAUCUCUGGUGUGCUGGACCGCAGUCAUGUUCUGUGACUUUGGCUACUGGCUCUUCAGUUUGUGGUAUCCUUAUUAGUUGAUUACUAUGAGGCAUUUGUCUGAGAAGG
ensembl:snoRNA SNORD15 Small nucleolar RNA SNORD15